GACCUAUUGAUGUCUAAGACAAGUUAAUGAGAUGUGAUUAUUUAAUUAAUUUUGUUAGCUGAUCUGAUCAAUUUAUUGAUGUCUAAAGAAGGCAACGGGGGGAUCUCCAUCGAUCUCCACUUAUCUUAUCAAUUUGAAAGAUUGGAUCUUGAAUUAGGUUGCUUAGAAGUUUGAUUUAGCCCAUGCCAGUUAGAUCGGUCAUAUGAUGACUGAUUAAAUAAGAUCUAAACCUAAAUCUCUCCACAAAUAUUAAGUCCAUAGGUCUUCCAUCAUUAUAGAUGUGCGG
rnacentral:lncRNA from 1 species